CAGUGUCAUCACCGUGAAGGCGAUUUUGACGAGGAAAUCCGGCAGUGAUUGCAGUUUUACCGCUAAUCCGGCCGAAACGUUGAAGCGGACCGGCGACAACGCUGGGUUACAGUCAUUCGACGGUCCAGGCCUGACGGUGAACAGUGGUCACCGAACAGCAACACACGGAUUUGUUCGGCGCACUUUGUGGGCGGUGCGAAAGCUCACGAAGAGGGUAGCCCGUCAUACGUGCCAUCCAUAUUCCCCCAGGUAUACAAGAAAUGCGCAAGAGACACUGAAGCAAUGGUUGCGAGAUACGCGAGGACAAGAAAGAGGCGAAACAAGGCGUACCAGGGU